rnacentral:rRNA from 1 species
UUCGGGUACAAUUGAGACAGGUGGUGCAUGGUUGUCGUCAGCUCGUGUCGUGAGAUGUUGGGUUAAGUCCCGCAACGAGCGCAACCUUGUGUUAGUUGCAAACAGGUCAAGCUGUGCACUCUAGACAGACUGCCGUGGACAACACGGAGGAAGGUGGGGAUGACGUCAAAUCAUCAUGCCCCUUAUGAUCUGGGCUACACACGUGCUACAAUGGCCGGUACAACGGGCAGCGAAGGAGCGAUCCGGAGCGAACUCCUAAAAAAGCCGGUCCCAGUUCGGAUUGCAGGCUGAAACUCGCCUACAUGAAGUUGGAGUUGCUAGUAAUCGCGAAUCAGAAUGUCGCGGUGAAUGCGUUCCCGGGUCUU